GAUGAAGAACGUAGCGAAAUGCGAUACUUGGUGUGAAUUGCAGAAUCCCGUGAACCAUCGAGUCUUUGAACGCAAGUUGCGCCCGAAGCCAUCAGGUUGAGGGCACGUCUGCCUGGGCGUCACAUACCGUUGCCCAAUGCCUAUUGCAGUGCAAUAGGAAUUUCUAGGGCGAAUGAUGGCUUCCCGUGAGCGUUGUUGCCUCGCGGUUGGUUGAAAAUCGAGUCCUUGGUAGGGUGUGCCAUGGUAGAUGGUGGUCGAGUUAGAACGAUACCGAUCAUGUGCAUGCUCCCCAAAAUAUGGCCUCUAUGACCCACACGCGUCUUUUGACGCUCAUGACGAGACCUCAGGUCAGGCGGGGCUACCCGCUGAAUUUAAGCAUAUCAAUAAGCGGAGGA
rnacentral:misc_RNA from 1 species